rnacentral:rRNA from 1 species
AUGGAUGGCCUCUGCUGUGCUGUUGCUUGGGUACACAGAAGUGCCACCUUGAUGAAACGAAGUACUUGCUCCUCUGGGUAUUCUUCCACGUCUGGAUCUACAAUUUCCAAAAGUCUCUCUUCUUCUCGCAGCUUCCAUGUGAAUUACCCAUUCCACAAGGACAUGCAUAUCUUCCCCCCAAGUCGAUUUGCUGCUGCUUUCACCACUUAUAACUUCAAGAAGCAGCACCCCGAAACUAUAUAUGUCUGCUUUCUUGGUUAA